rnacentral:rRNA from 1 species
GAUGAACGCUGGCGGCGUGCCUAAUACAUGCAAGUCGAGCGAAUGGAUUAAGAGCUUGCUCUUAUGAAGUUAGCGGCGGACGGGUGAGUAACACGUGGGUAACCUGCCCAUAAGACUGGGAUAACUCCGGGAAACCGGGGCUAAUACCGGAUAACAUUUUGAACCGCAUGGUUCGAAAUUGAAAGGCGGCUUCGGCUGUCACUUAUGGAUGGACCCGGGUCGCAUUAGCUAGUUGGUGAGGUAACGGCUCACCAAGGCAACGAUGCGUAGCCGACCUGGGAGGGUGAUCGGCCACACGGGGACUGGCACACGGCCCAGACUCCUACGGGAGGCAGCGGUAGGGAAUCUUCCGCAAUGGACGAAAGUCUGACGGAGCAACGCCGCGUGAGUGAUGAAGGCUUUCGGGUCGUAAAACUCUGUUGUUAGGGAAGAACAAGUGCUAGUUGAAUAAGCUGGCACCUUGACGGUACCUAACCAGAAAGCCACGGCUAACUACGUGCCAGCAGCCGCCGUAA